rnacentral:rRNA from 1 species
GACAGAGGGUGCAAACGUUGUUCGGAAUUACUGGGCAUAAAGCGCACGUAGGUGGUCCACUAAGUCGAGUGUGAAAUCCCCCGGCUCAACCGGGGAAUUGCGCUCGAUACUGGCGGGCUAGAGGUCGAUAGGGGUGAGCGGAACUCCAGGUGGAGCGGUGAAAUGCGUAGAUAUCUGGAGGAACACCGGUGGCGAAAGCGGCUCACUGGAUCGAAAACUGACACUGAGGUGCGAAAGCUAGGGUAGCAAACGGG